rnacentral:rRNA from 1 species
CCUACGGGAGGCAGCAGUGGGGGAUAUUGCACAAUGGGCGGAACCCUGACGCAGCGACGCCGCGUGGGUGAAGGAGCGUUUCGGCUCGUAAAGUUCUAUUGGCAGGGAAGAAGAUGACGGUAUCUGACUAAGAAGCCCCGGCUAACUACGUGCCAGCAGCCGCGGUAAUACGUAGGGGGCAAGCGUUAUCCGGAUUUACUGGGUGUAAAGGGGGCGCAGACGGGAAUGCAAGCCAGAUGUGAAAGCCCGGGGCCCAACCCCGGGACUGCACGUGAAACUGCAUGGCUGGAGUACAGGAGGGGCAAGCGGAAUUCCUAGUGUAGCGGUGAAAUGCGUAGAUAUUAGGAGGAACACCAGUGGCGAAGGCGGACUACUGGACUGUGACUGACGUUGAGGCCCGAAGGCGUGGGGAGCAAACAGGAUUAGAUACCCCGGUAGUC